rnacentral:ncRNA from 2 species
GAAAUAUAUCAGAAGUCAUCUGGGGAAGUAUUUCUUCUACAAUUGAGAACUGCUUUAUGCAAAAAAAGUCACUUUGGCUGGGUUAGUAGGUGCAUGAACCAGGUCCUGAACCACAACAGGAGCCUCCUAAGGCGAGAGGUUGAAGCUUCUCUUCUGACUCUGGGAUCAGCCCCAGAGCAGGCCCUGCCCCCAGGAGUCUGUGUGUCUGCUCUCUUCUUCCCAUCCAUAUUCCUUUCAGGAGGGUCACGCAGCACAAUGCCAGCUCUGCCCCUGGACCAACUCCAGAUCACCCACAAGGACCCGAAGACAGGAAAGCUGAGGACUUCACCAGCGCUGGUGAUCUUUGACGAGACUCUACAGAAGUGCCUGGACUCCUACCUGCGCUAUGUCCCCCGCAAAUUCGACGAGGGGGUGGCCUCAGCCCCUGAGGUUGUUGACAUGCAGAAGCGCCUCCAUCGAAGUGUUUUUCUCACCUUCCUCCGCAUGUCCAC